GAUCAUGACACUGCACUCCACUCAUCUGAGCUGAGCGAGCACGGAGUCUGCAGCUCUACGACACGCUUACAAGUCAACCACAAAACCAUGGCCACAGUCACCAUUGAAUACUGUAAAGGAUGAAGUUACGCGUAUCGCUACCAGGAACUAGUUGGCUUUCUCAGACAGGUUCCUGGUCUGCAGGUGAAUGGCGUCACAGGAGCACCAAACAGCUUUGAGGUGUCCCUGAAUGGAGAGCUGAUCUACUCCAAGCUGGAGACGGGAGAGUUUCCUAACGCUGAGGAGAUGACGGAGAAGGUGAGAGGGAUGGUUCCCGGAGGACACAAGAAGAAAAAGUCCAAGCUGAAUAUCAAGAAAUGCACCGUUAAUUAGUGGGAGAAGGACGAAACAACAGCUGUAUUUACACCGACAGAACCAUGGAUGACAUGUGUGUGCGUCUCUCAACAAAAUUAAUCAGACCAGACAUCAUAACAUGCAAACCUAAGUAAUCAUUGGCCUUAAAGGAAAAGUGUCAGACCAAAUGUUGUGACCAGGCACUGACGUUGAUGAGAGCGUGUCGUAGGAUCCUGGCUCUGAUUUGCUUCUGUCUAUGAAUGUACGCACUGAAACAGCUGUGUGGUGCGUGCACGAUGCAACUAGAAGCUUUUCAGCCGAGCAGGGCCUGAACACGUGCUCUCAUCGCGUCCGUGUGCCGUGGAUAGGGAGCCGAAGGAAACUUGUGUUCACAUUUACUGUGUAAUGGUAUUUAUAAUAUAGUAAUUUUUCCAAAUACACUUUUUACGUUCUCGUUCUGCGUCAGUUUAAUGAGAAGCCUCUCGUGUGUGUAUAGUAAAUAUAAAACUACCAGCAAGCACAGCGUAGCUUAGCAACUGUUUGCUUUCUGAACAAUCUGACCCGUUUUUACAUGCACAUAUUAAACCUUUGUAUAGUGUGUAAUAAACAUUACAAAAGGCUGUAAAUUGAAUUGUGAUAAAUGACAUGCUGGUGCAGGCCGAGGAAAUGCAGCCGUUUCCUAAUGCUAAGCUAUGCUAACUGGCGGCUAUAGCCGUAGCAUCACAUUAAUAACGCGUCAGUCUUCUUUUGCCAAAAUGUUCCUUUCAUGCUAAUUUUAUUUGAGCUUUCAGUGUUUUCAAAAAGUAAAAAGAUACGGCACGACACACGAGCUGAGACUUCACGAACUUGAAUGCUUUCUUCUCUUACGAAUGUUUUAUAUUAGUUUUACAAGUAUUUUAUGAAGUUACAGUCCCGUGUCAUAUGUACCAUGAUGUAACAUGGGGCCUUUACCUGGAGUGAAGUGCAGAAGUGAAGACGCAGGCGCUGUGUGUGUCCUGCCCUUUGUUACUAUUCUGACAUUUUAGCUGUCGAGGCAACUCUUUAGUGACAAAAAACACAUUUAAUUUGAUGUGACUGUAAUUAAAUUUUUUUUGAAGUUUUUACUAUGCAGUUAAACUGUCAUUUUGUAACCCUAAUGCAAACAAACGUAAUAAAGUACCACUGAUUGCUUGUCGAA